GAGAGAGGCCCAACAGCAGCGGGAACUGCUAAUUCCCACCACCCCGGUUAAAGCCCGAGGCUCACUCG
rnacentral:tRNA from 1 species